GGCCAAGCGCUCAUAGCGACGGUGCUUGGUGAUCCUUGGAUGUCGGCUCCUCCUAUCAUUGAGGC
rnacentral:rRNA from 1 species